GGGGGAAUAGCUCAGUGGUAGAGCGCUGGAUUCCAGCGGGGGUUCGAUCCCCUCUUCCCUCA
rnacentral:tRNA from 1 species